rnacentral:tRNA from 1 species
GCCUGGGUGGCUCAGUCGGUUAAGCGUCUGACUUUGGCUCAGGUCAUGAUCUCACAGUUCGUGGGGUCGAACCCCAUGUCGGGCU